UCGGUUCUCGUUAGAUCACCGAAGUUAAGCAUCAUUGGGCGCGGUCAGUACUUGGGUGGGUGACCACCUGGGAACACUGCGUGCCGUU